AAGGAAUAAAAAGAUUUUUAAAGACAUUAGACCACACUUGGAUAGCACUAUGAGACGAAUCAAAAUACACGUAUAUAAAAUUACGUUUUUUUUGUAUCUGCAUGUUUCAAUUCACUUUGAGUUUUCAGCAUUGGGUUCUUAGACCGUGUCGUUUGUACAUCUUCUCAUUUUGCUAGCCCAAAUAUGCCCGAGGUAUUUGUAUAUGUGUCAUGAUUCUUAUUUGUCCAAAAAUGCCUGGUGUACUUGUGUAUGAAG
rnacentral:lncRNA from 1 species